rnacentral:lncRNA from 1 species
GAGGGGGUGUGGAUAUGAAGUAACACAGCUUCUGGGUUUUAUCAUCAGCCAUGAAAACAUCGCUGUGCUUCAGCCCUCAGUCACAUUUGACCCAGAGCCCUCAAAGGACUAAGAUCAUCCAGAGAGGGCUCCAGCUCUGCAGAAAUCUCCCACUCUUUCCUGAACGCGUGCCGCUCCUCAGCAGAGUUUGUUCAGGGAACACUGCGGGUAUCCCACCUCAGGCAGUCGGGAUUGUGUGCAGGGUGGAGUAUCGUCAGGUCAUUGGAACGGCCCCAAGGCAUGUCAGGGGGCGUUGCCCAAGGGUCAAAGGUUAGGCUCAGGUGGAGGGUGUUUGGGAGGUGCCAUGCUGAAGCUGGAGGCAUGCUUUCUUUUGCUGCUGCGUUGCAUGGAGAGAUGAGUUGUUAUCGCUUUUAAUUAAAUUGAAUUGAAUUAAAUUCUCUUUCUAGAAAAGGCCGGGUGAGACAGUCGGAUGAAUCAACGACUAACUAGCAAUCGGUCACCAUGGGCCGGGCGGUCUGUGUUUUGUUUGUAACUCCUCUCGUGUUCUCAUGCUCUUUUAUGGCGUUCUCGCUGUGGAAUUGAGUCCGGGCAACAAGGACUCAGACACGCCAGGGUCUUCCUCGGCGAUGGCUAGGGAGUGGGCCUUGUUGCCUGACUUGCUGCCCAGUGCACAUCCGUGUGUGUGCGAGAAAACUUCCCUGCGCUCCAGACGAAGGAAUGCGUGUGUGGUUGGUGGUGUCUGAGUCGUGUGCUGAGGCGUGGCACGGCUGGAGGGAAAGAAAAACACACAGAGAGCCGCCAGGCUUUGCCAGGUACCCACCUGUGUGCCCACAGACAAUCAGACAACAACACAGGCCCCGGCGCAGCCCCGCAGGCGGGCAGACAGCCAGGGAGGACUGUGGGACCGUCUGGAGCGGCAGGCCUGGGGGUAAGGAGGGGUGAGAGCCCUGACUGAGUUCAGCGAGGUCGGCCAGUUCAGCACUCUUUGCACUCCAGAAAUGUCCCAGCCCUCCGUCUGGAAUGACUCGCCGCGUUGCUGUUGUUGUUUUCAUCUCCCUUCCUGUCUUUCAGGACAACUCUUGAAGGCGAGGAAUGAGCAGCGCAGAGACGCGCUAGAAAAUUCGCCACCACCUUUGUGUUUUCGCCACACAGCUCUCCACUCGAUCAUCUGGUGUGCGACUAGAGUUUCAGACACCGUGGCUGUAUUUCUGCAUGGGGAAAUGGAGGGAGUCUUUCACUGCAGUGUUCUCCACAACGCAGCGCUGGGUCUCUUUCUUUUUCAAGGGCUUCUAGCUGGGGGUGGUCCAGGCCCGGUUCUGGAGGGCUGGCAUGUCUUUGGGUGUUCAUUCCAACCCAGCUCAUAAUAAUCCCAAACCAACUUGCAAAACCUUCAUUGGAUAAAUCUACAAACCCCUCCCAGCUCCUCAGGUGCAGCAGCUUUAAAGAGAACCUAGAGAACCUGCAGUCACUGGGCCCCCUGAUGUUCAGCUGCUGG